GACGAACGCUGGCGGCGUGCUUAACACAUGCAAGUCGAACGGAAAGGCCCUGCUUUUGUUGGGUGCUCGAGUGGCGAACGGGUGAGUAACACGUGAGUAACCUGCCCUUGACUUUGGGAUAACUUCAGGAAACUGGGGCUCAUACCGGAUAUGAGCUCCUGCUGCAUGGUGGGGGUUGGAAAGUUUCGGCGGUUGGGGAUGGACUCGCGGCUUAUCAGCUUGUUGGUGGGGUAGUGGCUUACCAAGGCUUUGACGGGUAGCCGGCCUGAGAGGGUGACCGGCCACAUGGGGACUGAGAUACGGCCCAGACUCCUACGGGAGGCAGCAGUGGGGAAUAUUGCACAAUGGGCGGAAGCCUGAUGCAGCAACGCCGCGUGCGGGAUGACGGCCUUCGGGUUGUAAACCGCUUUCGCCUGUGACGAAGCGUGAGUGACGGUAAUGGGUAAAGAAGCACCGGCUAACUACGUG
rnacentral:rRNA from 1 species